rnacentral:misc_RNA from 1 species
AUGAAUCUACACUCGGUCUUCUGUGCUGGUGGAAACACAUGUGCACGUCGAUCGUGAUUCUAUCCUCCUCUCCAACCGUCCAUGUGUGUGUUUGGUCGACCUCUGGUCGAAGAGUUGUGGCUUUCGGGCUCGAUUCGUUCCAGAUGCACCUUGGUUAUUUCACCCACUCUGGGUAUUAGAAACAAAGAACAUUAUAUAUAAACUAUA